CUGGAGUUCACUUUUUUGUUGCCUUAACCCUAUUGGCAAAGACUUGGCUAUAGAGUACUAAUUGUGAUGCAAGCAAGUUCUUUUGCCAAUGGCAACCAGCAGAGCUUCCCCUGAAGAUUGGAGGGGAUGAGUCAGGGGCAAGGAAGGAUUAACAGAUUCUGCCUCAAGUCCUGGUGAACCAACUCCUCUCCCCAAGACAGACACAUACUAGUGAAAUAAAUUGGAUUUAAAUCAUCACCUGAGGCAAUCCUGAAAGAGAAAAGCAGUCCUAGAAAAGAGUGGAGGAAAAGAGGACAGCCCCAUUCUCUUUGUGACCACGAAGACUGCCGCCAUGUGGUUGGGAGCCACGUAACUUCUUUUAGUGCCAGCUGAGAUUCUUCUGCCCUGGAACUAGUUCCUCCGAGUUAUUGCCAGGCCUGGAGAUUGAAUUCCUGCAGCUGGAAGGUGGGGAAAGCAAAAUGUUGUGAGCACCUACCAUAUGCCAGGCACUGUUCAGUGAACUGGUUGUACAGGAGUGAAUGAGAUCAUCUUGAUUUUGAGAAGUUUAUAAUCUACUCAAGGGAAACACGUGUAAUCAACUAUGUUUCAGACAUAACCCCUCAAAACCAAAGCAGAACCUCUUCAAGGAGCUGAGAGAUGCAAGCCUGGUGCUGACAACUAGAGCUGAGGAAGCGAUAUAAAUGCAGCAUUUGGGGUAACACUCUGCUUCCCCCUUUUGUGCCAAACAGGCAAGUCAGGGACACCUGAGGUUAUGAAGGCAUCUCUCCACAGUUCUGCCUGAGAAUCCAAGAAUGAAAGUAAUAGUUACCUUGUCUUGGGCUGCUGCUACCUUUCUGCUUUAUGAGUGCAAUUGACAUGCUCCGCGUUCAGAUCUCAGAUACCAGUCAGCUGCACUUUCUCUUUCAGACAAAAGUGUUGCCAAUGUUUCUACUACUGCCCGAGUGUCACUCCUUAUUUCCUUAUUUUAAAGUGUUAUUUUUCCUGGAAGUGUAAUGGUUAAAGAAGUGACAGUAAAUAAAUAGGAGUUAUUAUUCCCUUUUCUAAGCUUCUGUCCUUAGAGACCAAUUUUCAUAACAUCUCUUGAGCUCUCCAUGUAAAAUCAGUCCAGUCUAAUUCACAUCUCCAUUAGUUAUAUCUGCUUUUGGCAGACAGCCUGGCUUCCCAGUUUUUCAGAAAAAAAAAAAUCUAUGAAAUAUCUUAAUGCCUCCAUUUCCCUCUUGUCCACUUUCAGAGUUACCAUAUAUUCAUCCAUCCUUUUCUCCCUCCUAUCUGAGGCAGAAGGAAUCUUUACUUUCUUCAAAAAUCAAUUUUUUUUCAACUUUGCUAAUGAUCUUCCUUCUUUUCCACUUUCUCUGGGGAUUUAUUUCAUUAUUUUUUCUACCGUAUUUCUCUCUUCUCUUUAUUCCUUUCUUCCUUCCUAUAAUCAUGCACAAAUAUUACUAUUGUAUAGAAACCUUCUCUAGUGUCACACUCUCCACCAAGUUACUUCCCUUUUCUUCUCCUCUGUUUCAUUGCCAAGCUUCCUGGAAGAAAUAUCUCAUCUCUCACUUACUUCUCAAUCCUGGGAAACCUGAUUUUAGCCCUCACCAGUUGGCUGAAAUCGGAUAGAAUAGGUCAUCCAUGUCCUAACUGCCAAAUCCAUUAUAUUUGGGUGGUCAUCUCACAGAACCUCACUGGGGUUCCUCCCUUGGGUUUGUGAGACAGCCCUCUUCUUAUUGUCCUCUCACUCUUCCUAGUCUCACCCUCAUCUUUUUAAAUGUAACCCAUCUUUCCCGGGGUUGAUGUUAGGCAGGGCUGGGGAGGUGGAGUUGGCAGUGGCUCCUAUUGUGUUCUCUCUGGUGACACGUAUAGACAUGGGUCAUCACUUG
rnacentral:lncRNA from 1 species